UACGAAGGCAGCGAGCGUUGUUCGGAAUUACUGGGCGUAAAGAGCGCGCAGGCGGUCGUUCAAGUCGAGUGUGAAAGCCCCCGGCUCAACUGGGGAGGGUCACUCGAUACUGAUCGACUCGAAGGCAGGAGAGGGAAGCGGAAUUCCCGGUGUAGUGGUGAAAUGCGUAGAUAUCGGGAGGAACACCAGUGGCGAAGGCGGCUUCUUGCCGUGUUCUGCGUCGAAGCGCUGA
rnacentral:rRNA from 1 species